GGUCCUGUGGUCUAGUGGUAUGAUUCUCGCUUUGGGUUCACAACAUCCUGAUCUGCGAGAGGCCCCGUGUUCGAAUCACGGCAGGACCC